GAAUUUUAUAUAAGUUUGAUAAAAAAGUUUAUUAUUUAGAUUAUUAAAUUUAUAUUUUAUUGGGAGGAUAGUUAAAUUAGUUAAACUUUAAAAAUAAAAAUCCAUUAAUUUAUGAGAUAUGAUUUAUAUAGUGUGAUAAAAAAUUUAAGUAGAAUUAAUUACCUUAGGGAUAACAGCGUUAUAUUUUUAGAGAGAUCUUAUUGAUAAAAAUGAUUGC
rnacentral:rRNA from 1 species